rnacentral:rRNA from 1 species
UACGUAGGGUGCGAGCGUUGUCCGGAAUUACUGGGCGUAAAGCGUGCGUAGGCGGUUUGUUAAGUCUGUUGUGAAAUCCCCGGGCUCAACCUGGGAAUGGCAAUGGAUACUGGCAGGCUAGAGUGUGUCAGAGGAUGGUGGAAUUCCCGGUGUAGCGGUGAAAUGCGUAGAGAUCGGGAGGAACAUCAGUGGCGAAGGCGGCCAUCUGGGACAACACUGACGCUGAGGCACGAAAGCGUGGGGAGCAAACAGG